rfam:Aedes albopictus isolate Foshan contig116718, whole genome shotgun sequence.
UGUUCUGUGGCUUAGUUGGUUGAGGCACCGGUCUAGCGAAAACGGAGUCGUGGGUUCGAAUCCCAUCGGAAUGC